GAUGAACGCUGGCGGCGUGCUUAACACAUGCAAGUCGAACGAUGAAGCCCAGCUUGCUGGGUGGAUUAGUGGCGAACGGGUGAGUAACACGUGAGUAACCUGCCCUUGACUCUGGGAUAAGCCCGGGAAACUGGGUCUAAUACCGGAUAGGAGCGCCUGUCGCAUGACGGGUGUUGGAAAGAUUUUUCGGUCAUGGAUGGACUCGCGGCCUAUCAGCUUGUUGGUGAGGUAAUGGCUCACCAAGGCGACGACGGGUAGCCGGCCUGAGAGGGUGACCGGCCACACUGGGACUGAGACACGGCCCAGACUCCUACGGGAGGCAGCAGUGGGGAAUAUUGCACAAUGGGCGGAAGCCUGAUGCAGCGACGCCGCGUGAGGGAUGACGGCCUUCGGGUUGUAAACCUCUUUCAGUAGGGAAGAAGCGAAAGUGACGUACCUGCAGAAGAGC
rnacentral:rRNA from 1 species